rnacentral:rRNA from 1 species
UACGGAGGGUGCAAGCGUUAUCCGGAUUCACUGGGUUUAAAGGGUGCGUAGGCGGGCAGGUAAGUCAGUGGUGAAAUCUCCGGGCUUAACCCGGAAACUGCCGUUGAUACUAUCUGUCUUGAAUAUUGUGGAGGUAAGCGGAAUAUGUCAUGUAGCGGUGAAAUGCUUAGAUAUGACAUAGAACACCAAUUGCGAAGGCAGCUUACUACACAGUUAUUGACGCUGAGGCACGAAAGCGUGGGGAGCAAACAGG